UACGUAGGUGGCAAGCGUUGUCCGGAAUUAUUGGGCGUAAAGCGCGCGCAGGCGGCCUUUUAAGUCUGAUGUGAAAGCCCACGGCUUAACCGUGGAAGGUCAUUGGAAACUGGAAGGCUUGAGGAUAGAAGAGGAAAGUGGAAUUCCACGUGUAGCGGUGAAAUGCGUAGAGAUGUGGAGGAACACCAGUGGCGAAGGCGACUUUCUGGUCUAUAACUGACGCUGAGGCGCGAAAGCAUGGGGAGCAAACAGG
rnacentral:rRNA from 1 species